rnacentral:rRNA from 1 species
UACGAAGGGGGCUAGCGUUGCUCGGAAUCACUGGGCGUAAAGCGCACGUAGGCGGCUCUUUAAGUCAGGGGUGAAAUCCUGGAGCUCAACUCCAGAACUGCCUCUGAUACUGGGGAUCUUGAGUCCGGAAGAGGUAAGUGGAACUGCGAGUGUAGAGGUGAAAUUCGUAGAUAUUCGCAAGAACACCAGUGGCGAAGGCGGCUUACUGGUCCGGUACUGACGCUGAGGUGCGAAAGCGUGGGGAGCAAACAGG